GCAGAACCACGAAGAUGACGGAUCAGUUCUUUCUCAGGAUGUUUUUACUCUGUGGGAGGAUUUUUGGAUUUGAAUAAAACAUCAUAACCUGUUCAGUUGAAGCUGAAGGAUUUUAUUGAAGAAGAGCGGGUGAUGUUUGAAGCAGCAGGAGGAGCCAGGUGGUGGAUGUGGAGGAGAAAAUCACACAGACAGGAGUCACCGAGUCUCCUGAGGACUGGAGGGUUUGAACAGUUUGUUUCCGCAGCGCGUGUUCUGCCUGCUGGGUUUUAUUAAUGAACUGUAUGUUUGCUGGCAUAUUGAUCUCUUCGCAGAUUGACAUAUUUGCUUGUUAGUUUCUUUCCUCCUCGCCGGGAUGUUCGCUCAUGUUUGUUGCUAUGGCAGUCGACCUACAGCUGCUCGGAUAUCGAUUUCUGCAUCAGCUCCGGUAAGUUGGGGGUCUGUGUCGGUCUUUGUAGCAGAGCAGUUUCAGUUGUUCUGUGAGUUUUAACAUCUUUUUAUAGCUUUGAAUCAUCUUCGCAGGAUUUUCCUCUUUGGAUUCAACUUCUGCAGAAUCAUCUCCACCGUCGGCGCUCUGACACACCUCCACAUUUCUCACUCACAUCAGAGCUGCGAACGAAAGAGCGACUGAGCUGGAAUAUUGUAAAGGAGACAUAACAAAGUCGACGUACACGAUCUGAGAGUGAAAUGUUAAACUAACUUUGACAGUAAGAGUUUGAUUGUUACCUGUUCAAGAAAUCUCCUGAUCUCAGACAGCUAAUCAAUACUCAAGCUUCAAGGUGCAGCUUCACAGCGAGAGAGGGAGAGAGUGAGAGAGACAGAGUGCAGUGAAGCAGCGGUGUGCCGCCGCUGAACAGAGACUCCUGAUACUCUCACUGAUGUCUAUUUACACCGAACUAAAACUUCACUAAACUCCAAUAAACAAAAUAAAAUCCAACAUCAGCGACUGUUAUAAGAUUCUUCAACUUACACUUAACAUUAAAUCACAUGACCACAGUUAAAACAAACGCCAUUAAGCAUGGAGAAAUAAAAGAAAACACACAAACUAGCAGGUAACAACACCGCUAGAGGUGCUUGUUGCUACCUAAUCGGUCCGCAUGUGUCAAACGUACGUCACUUUCUCUCUUCAUAUUUUAAUGCACUUUGCGGAGGUUAGUCGUUACUUUUGCUACCUACCCGAUCCGUACUGCGCAAGAGCAGAUUUACGUCACCUCAAGAACUUUAUUUAAACUACCGAUCGAUUUCAGAAACCAGCCGGCGAUGUGACAGGCCGGCUAACAGGAGGCUCCAGGGCUAAUGCCGAGGCAUUUAUGACUACGUUGCAGUUUUACAAUUAAGCUGUAGUAAGUACCUUUACUCGUGAAACUGGGCGCCAUUCUCUUGACUUUCCGGCGCUCUGCUUCACGUCUGGUUCACACUGGAAGCGCCGCGCGCGGAACGGAAGCGCCGCGCACAGAGUUUCGGAUCGGCGCCCAUGUUAACCUAUGAGACUGUUCACACAGCACGCGCGCGGAAGCGCCGCGCGCGGAACGGCUCGCGCUCUGGAGCGCGGGUGCUCCGCUUCUCUCUAUUUUCGGCGCGAGCCGCGAGCGCCGAUGUAAAGCUCAACAGAGCAGAUCGGACCAGACAGGAAGUCAGGAAGGAGAUGCGAGAGAAUCCGGUCAAUUUUCAAAAUAAAGUAAAUUUCAAUAAAUUAGAAAAGGAUUUACGGUGUUGCUUGUCAGUCUAUUUUUUUUACCGAUGAACACACACACACACACACACACACACACACACACACACACACACACACACACGCACACACGGAGGGAGAGCUGCAGAGAUUCAGUGAUGUUAUUGAGACAAAGAGGGGGGACUUUAUUACGAUACAGUCAAUAGCCUCGAGCUAACAAGGCUAUACAUACAACGGAGUCAACAGACUCCCCAAUUUAUUCGUCGUUUACCCCUAUAUCAUUAUUUAAAAGCAUCGUACUUGAAGAUGCUGUCAAUAUUUAAUUCAUGUAUGACGAAAUAAAAACGUAAAUAAAUAGUGAUUUACCCAUUUUUAAAGCGCUCGUAAGUGUGGAAAACUGAGGGCAGACGGAAACGGCCGAGCACUAUCGGGCUCAGUCGAUGUCUGACCGGCAUGUCAGAGCGCAGCAGAAAGCGCUUCCUGUGUGACGUCUGGUUCACACAGGAAGCGCCGCGCGCGGAACGGAAGCGCCGCGCGCGCGCGCGCAGCGCCGGCUCGCGCUUGGCUGUUCACACAGGAAGCGCUUUCUGCUGCGCUCUGACAUGCCGGUCAGACAUCGACUGAGCCCGGUAGUGCUCGGCCGUUUCCGUCUGCCCUCAGUUUUCCACACUUACGAGCGCUUUAAAAAUGGGUAAAUCACUAUUUAUUUACGUUUUUAUUUCGUCAUACAUGAAUUAAAUAUUGACAGCAUCUUCAAGUAAUGUUUUAAAUUAUUAUAUAGGGGUAAACGACGAAUAAAUUGGGGAGUCUGUUGACUCCGUUGUAUGUAUAGCCUUGUUAGCUCGAGGCUAUUGACUGUAUCGUAAUAAAGUCCCCCCCCUCUUUGUCUCAAUAACAUCACUGAAUCUCUGCAGCUCUCCCUCCGUGUGUGCGUGUGUGUGUGUGUGUGUGUGUGUGUGUGUGUGUGUGUGUGUGUGUGUGUGUGUGUGUUCAUCGGUAAAAAAAAUAGACUGACAAGCAACACCGUAAAUCCUUUUCUAAUUUAUUGAAAUUUACUUUAUUUUGAAAAUUGACCGGAUUCUCUCGCAUCUCCUUCCUGACUUCCUGUCUGGUCCGAUCUGCUCUGUUGAGCUUUACAUCGGCGCUCGCGGCUCGCGCCGAAAAUAGAGAGAAGCGGAGCACCCGCGCUCCAGAGCGCGAGCCGUUCCGCGCGCGGCGCUUCCGUGCGCGUGCUGUGUGAACAGUCUCAUAGGUUAACAUGGGCGCCGAUCCGAAACUCUGUGCGCGGCGCUUCCGUUCCCGCGCGCGGCGCUUCCAGUGUGAACCAGGCGUGAACAGCCAAGCGCGAGCCGGCGCUGCGCGCGCGCGCGGCGCUUCCGUUCCGCGCGCGGCGCUUCCUGUGUGAACCAGGCGUCAGUCGGGGGAAGAACUCCGCUCAAGAGAAAAGAAAAGCGUGUGGCUGGUGAUGAACUGAAGCAUCCUCUAUAACUGUAGCGAGCUCGCUGAUGCCGAAGCGGUCGAACUAGUGUCCAAGCUGUCGCAAACCGCGAGGAGUGAAGAAUUGCCGAGCUGUUCCAAAGACGGCUAGUAGCGGCAGUGCUCCUCGGUCUCUGUGAAGCAGACAGAUCCUGCAUACGCUACUUCUUCUUUUCUCAUUUCAAAAUAAAAGCAUGUGUUUCAAAAUAAGGCCAAAAUAUAAUUUUUUAACUACAAAUGAGUAUCAGUUUUAAAUAUUGGUUAUCUGUUUCCUUGAUUACUAAUAAUUGGUAUCUGCCCAAAAUUAAAAACACAUCGGUCAAUCUUUAUUUCAGUCGCCUGGUAAAAAAGGGUUUUAUGAAAAUAAUAUGCGACUAACCAAAUCGAUGCACCGUUGCAGUCAAAUAUUUAGGAGCAUCGUUUUCAGUGUGAGUGAUUUUUGUGUUGAAACUGUUUCCCCAGUUUCUGUGAGAAAUGACUGGUGUUUGAUUAGUAAUGUCUGCUAAGAGGCCCAGGCUUUAAAAUAACACGUUUGUUGGCAGGCGUUAAGAAUCAGCCCUCCAGUCGAACCUUUAAAUAGCCGACAACACUUCAGUUUGGCAAUCUUCAUUUUCAAUUCAGUUCUCAGGUUCAUUCAAACACAAACAGACGGGCUGAUCAUCUUCACCUUCAUCAUCACAGCUUAUUUUCACUCAGUCUGAUUUAUACCGGUUAUUUUCUCUGACUUCUUUAACAUCGCCCUUUAUAAAUUUGUCAGAUUUCUGUUUAUUUAAUAGAAAAUCUUUUUAAAAAGUAUAUUUACAGUUUUGCUGUUUCGUCUUUGGAGAAAUCUGCAGACUUUUGAAUCAGCUUUUUGACCCCACCUGACACACCAGCUACAUUUUUAUGACAAAAUCAUCAAAUUCAAUCCUGAAAAAACAUAAAUUCAAGGUGAAACAGCUUCUCUUUUGAAGGCCAUGAUAACUCCUCUGGACUCACUUUCAUUUAUUCAUCUGAAGUUUCCUGAUUUCCACAAACUCAUUAACGGAGUUUGUGUCGUAUGUGUGUGUGUUUACACACAAUCCUUGUGUUGAUAAUGAGGAGAGUAUCAGUGAGCUGUUUGGAUGCAUAGCGGUAGGAGCUAAUAUUUCACUCAAUCAUGCACACUGUGGUUUCUAAUUCAAUAGAUUUGUCUUAUUAUUUCUGCUCUAUAGCGCUCUAACCAAAUCAAUCAUUCCCCUUAGUAAUAUUUCAACAAUAUUUCCCUCUCUGCAACGUUUCCUGAUAUUCAGAGCUGAGGCUCGAGGCAGGAAGGAUGCAGGAGAGUUGGACUAAACAGAGGAAGAUUUCAGGGGCUGGUUCUGCAUGUAGUAAAUGUGGUUCUCUUUGAUUUUACAAACACAAACUCUGAGAUUUUUGCAACAGACUGAACAUCAGAGGAGUGGGCUUGACAACUCGACUCGAGACUCGACUUGGACUUGAACCUGUUUUUGACUUGCUUGAUGAAAUCAAGAAAUGACUUGGACUUGCUUGGGACUUGAUUGCUAAAGACUUGAGACUUGACUUGACUGGAGCCCAGUAACUUGAAAAAUCAAGUCAAAUCUUUUUAAGUCACUUAAUACCUUAUAGUGAGCCCAAACCGUUUAAAAAGUGUCGCAUUAACUAAUAGUCAGGAGUUACAGCUGUUGGUAACACCGUGUCGUGUUGCUAAGUCUGCUUAUUUCCUGCAAAAGAAAUUAGCUUGUUUUUGUCGUUUCUGGAGGUCUGUUUCCUUAUUUCUCUCACCAAACUUGGCAACACUGUCUCAAACUCUAGCCUCCCUCAUAACAACAACACCGGGAGGACUGAACAUAAAUCGCUCGCUGGUAUUGCCCGCCUGUUUCCACGUGUUUCCACGUGUCUCUCUUUUGUUUUGUUUUGGAACAGUGAAUUAGAGUAUCAGUUUAAUGUUUAAUUGUAUUUGAGUCUUCCUUAUUUUUGUGUACAUUGUCUAAGUUUCCAAUGAUUGAAGUUUAUCUGAUUAUUUUUUAUAUGACAUGUAAAAUAGUUUGGUUAAAGCUGCACUAUGUAACUUUACACAAACAAGAACCCUUGUUUAAUAAUAAAUGCAAAUAGUGAAAAAUGCUCAUGAUUGAGGACUUGGUUGGAACUAGAAACAAAAAGUUCAGGACUUGGACUUGACUUGAGACUUGAGAGCAAAGACUUGAGACUCGACUUGGACUUGCAACAUAAAGACUUUCCCCCACCUCUGCUUAACAUGCUGCAUUUUCUCUGCGUAUUCAGGAAGGCAUCUGCAGUUUUUCAGUAUAAGACAAACUUCUAAAUGAGUCACCCGCUCAAAACUCCUCCGGUUAGUAUUAUUAAUGAUGUUGCCGAGAGUCUGAGAACCCAGGUGUGUGGGAUGAUCGGAGAAAUCUAUCACAACACUGUACUUUCUCUUAAUUAGCAGAGAGGAUUUGGCAUUUCAGUGACAUUUAGCCUAUGUUAUAAAGUCAUGUCGUCUUCAGGUGAAAAGACUUAUUGAUUCUCAAAGUGCAUUUCUUUGAGUUCACAGUCAAAUCAGCUCAUUUUCAGAUGUUACAUUUAAUUUGUCUACAAUCAGAUUUAAAGGAGGAGGAGAAGGAGGAGGAGGAGGAGGAGGAGGUUUCUCCGCUUUCAACAACUUCAUUUGGAGAAAAUCUCCGUCUGGCCUUGGGAGAAAAAGUAUUCAGAAUUAGAGGAAGAUAAAAAAACGAGUGAAUUUAUCUCAUUAUUGAACCGCACUUGUAUGAUGAUUAAGAUGUAAUGAUGAUAGUUUCAUAUCUUGGGGGAUCAACUUAGUUAAUGAAAUUGUUAACAUCAAAAUAAUGAGUUUUAAAACAUCAUCGGAGGCGAAUGUGGCGCGGUGUUUUUACAAAGCUCUUUAGGGUUGAAUCAUCUGCGUUUACUUCUGAAGAGUAUUUAGUUAUGGAGAGAGGUGUUAACGUGUUAAUGGGCUCGCUCACAGCAUAGCGCUAUCACUAAACAGCAUGAUAGCAGUUAUGAUUGUGAGUCUGUGUGAAAAGCUGAUCAUUUUUAUCUGCUUUCUGGACUCGUCUUGCAGAUUUCAGACUCCCAUUGUCCCCUUGAAGCCUUAUAUUAGUAAUUGCGUACAGAUUUGCACGACAUCAGCACGUCUCUUCCUCUGCAAUAAUCUCCUGUAUGCAUGCUGUGAUGUGCAGGGCUGUGACAGCUGCAGCAAACCCUUCAUUAUUCACGUACACCUUCAUAUUUAUCUUUGCACAACAUUGGGACAGCCCGAUUGACAGCUCAUGAAAGCGACACACAAGUUCUGCGCGUGUUUGAGGGUGUGAGCGAUUCCCAUCCUGACAGAAAUGUGAUGUGACGUUUACCGAAGCUUAUGACGAACGGGGUUUUCUAUCAGCGUGAGGAAUGAGGACGCAGAAGUUUUGGACAAAAUCAAAUAAAAACAAUCACAUCUCUAUCUCUGCAGUCACAAAAAUGCAUGAUGGGAAUUAGAUCGGUAAAACACUUCACUGGAUGAUAUGACAUUUUGUUAUGUAUGUGAAGACACAAAGGGAACAUAUGCAGGCUGACAAACAGCAGAUUCCCAUUAUGCCGUGAAAGCUGCACGUGAACGAGACGCCUUCAUUAAAAGAUAAAAACCCACGUAUGUUAGCUGACAUGCUGCACCGACACACACACACACACACACACACACACACACACACACACACACACACACACACACACACACACACACACGUGUCCACAUACUGAAUGUAAUGACUGUGAGAGAUCAUUGAGAUUAAAAUGUGAAGUGGAGAAAUGGUUCACUAAUGAGACGGCUGCUGUGUACUGACACUGAAGUACCUCGAGUUUAACAUGAAGUGUCAUUACGUGUCCAUCCAGAGUUAUGUUCACAUACAGCAGCGCACUUUACAUGUAGAUCCAAAUAAUGUUAGUUUUAGUCUGUUAAAGUAAAUCCCUCUUCCUCUUUAGGGAGAGUCCUGCUCGAUUUUAAAACUAACACUGAGAGAAUUUAAGAGACAAAACUGAUGAGAGUGAGAAGAAUCAGAUCUCAAACAUAUGAGACACAAAUGAGAAGAGUCGAUUCAGACCUACAAGAAUCGUCUACGAUCAAAAAUCAUCUCAUCCACGCUUCUCAGAGAUCAAGUUUACUGUGUUUUCAUCACCCUUUGGACGAGUUUCAACGGUGACUUUUCUACAAAACUGAGUAAAUGUCUGUUUGUUAGUUUGUUAAUUAUCAGCAGAAGAUAUUUAUCAUGAUAACAGACCGUACAGUAUGAUACAAAAUGACAUGAUAUUGUAUCAUAUAGUAACAUAUCUUAAUGUAUUGUAUCAUAUCCUGGUGUCAUAUUGUAUUGUAUCGUAUUGUGUCAUAUUGUGUCAUAUCAUGUUGUAUCGUGAUGAUUGUGACAUGUCGUGACAUGUUUUGAUGUCAAUAUGACAAUAUGAUACGACACAAUACAAUACGAUACAAUAUGAUAAGAUGCAACUGCAACAUGAGGAUUCAAAACUGUAUGACAUCACACAUCAAAACAUGUCACGACAUGUCACAAUCACCACAAUACAUCACGACAUGACACAAUACAACACAAUAUGACACUAGGAUAUGAUACAUUAUGUUAAGAUAUGUUACAUAUGAUACAAUAUGGCAUGACACAAUGUGAUACAAUACAAUACGACACAAUAUAACGAUAUGACAUGACACAUCAAAACACGUCACGACAUGUCACAAUCAUCACGAUAUGUCAUGACAUGAUAGGGUACAAAAUAAGAUAUGAUAAUACAGGAUUAGUCACAACACACAAUUAUAUGUAAUACGACACGACAAGAUAUGAUAAAGUAUGUCACGACACAACACAACGACACGCCGUGAUAGAAUAUGAUACAAUACUUAAUGGUGCGAUACGAUUGGACACAACAGUGCUGACACAAUAUGAUACGAUACAAUACAAUACAAUACAACACAGUGCUAUACGGUACACUAUGAUACAGUAAGAUAAGACACGAUAUGACCUGACACGUUAUUGUCCUCUUUGGGAAAUUUGUCUCAAACUCAAGUGCUGUACAUGCCUGCAUCCACAAAUGCAUCAAUCAAUGACACAAAUCAAUUAAUCAAUGUUAUAAACGAGGCAAUCACCCCAACGCAAACAGAAAACACAAACCAAGGCCACCACAGCAAACUAGCAACACAUACUGCACACUAACCAGAGUACAUAAGAGGACGGCGCUGUAAGAGAAAAUUACUAACUAACAAGUUAAAAGCCUCAUGACAGCAUGAAGUUUUUAUACAUGGACCCCCUGGUUAACGCAUGCGUAAAGUAAAUCCACUCAGUCAGUCAUCAUCUAUGUUUGGUUGUAAAACCUCAAACUCUCGGACCUCGGCGAACUUCACAGAUUUGGUCGAUUUUCACUCGUUUAGAUGAAAACAGACAGUUCAGUAGAUCAUCCCCCCGGUUCGACCUUUCACUCUUAUUAUGUUAUUCACAAUAAUUACUGCUAACAUCCAGGCCGGAGCAGUUUCAAGCACUUUUCACGACCCCAUAAUUCUGUCUCUAGUUUCUACAACACCCAGGCGCCGCCGGUAAUCUGCAGCCAAAGCCCAUUUCAACAAAACAGGAGGAACAUAAGUGAGCGGGCAUUAAUCAUUUUGCUGCAGCAGGCUCUGUAUAUCUCUGUAAUCUCAUUUACAGCAGUCAGGCACUCGAGAAGACAAGAAGUGUCGCGUUUGGUUGCUUACCGAACAUACAAGAAGAAGCUCAAAGUUACAACUAAACAGCUGAGCAAUUCCUAACCUAAUCAACAAAGCAAAUUUAUCUUAGUCCGAUCUAAGUCCAUUAUCAGCAUGAAGCUAACAACAGCUGCUCCGUUGUAAUGGAAAUCUUAAUUACACACAUUAAUUAUGCCGCUAUGAAUGCAAGAGAAAUGAUAUAUAAGCCAUUAUCUUCAAAAUCAAUUGAACCAUGCAAGACAUAAUGGACUCUUGCACUACAUGCAGAAGUGUGCGAGAUUUUAAACUGAAGGUGAUUUACAUAGACCCCCGCAGAGAGCACUAGAGGGGCUCUGAAAACUCCCUUUGCUUUGUUUCUAUCAGCUCCCACCUCUGUCCAUGAUGGGAUUUUUAUCUGCAGGCCUGAGGGAGGGAUCUGUUUGAAUAGAAGCCGGACAGGCCCUGAGAUAGCCUGCUAUUACCAGCAGCCUGCACCGCAGCACCCAUCAAUCUCGGCAAGUUUCUCUGUUUACACACAGGACGGCACAACAGUCAUGAGUCAUUGCCGCUUAGGAUGCAGUUAGAGUGAAAUGAUGUUUCCCCACCUCCUCUGCCCAUCGCCCAGACACUCCUAAUCAAAGCUCAGGGGGUGAGCGAACCGUCACUGACAUGUGAGGAACAGCCGAUAUCCAACCAGUUAUUACAGCCAAUAUUGUUCUCUCUGAUUGCAAUCACAUGUCUCGGCUUUUGUCUCUCUCCCAGAUCUUUGAUUCGCCGCUUCUUUACAAACUGUCAGCUGCACAGAGACCUGUCUGACUCCCCGCUCCGGCUGCACCGCCAUCCCAAUUCAUUUUCUAUAACAGCACAAGAUUGCCGGGUCUCCACAAUGUAACCCUGAUGAGAAAGGUUAGUGGGAGUGCACCUUCAGGAAGUAGUCUUUGUCUCUUUUUGGACCUAAACUGCAGCUGCACUCUUCAGUCGAGAGAACAGACAGGACUGAAGGAAAAGCAGACGUCUUCCUGCUGCUGCUGCUGCUGCUGCAUCCCACUGAGCAACAAAUUAGCAUUACUUCAGGAGGAAGGAAGGAAGGAAGGAAGGAAGGAACAUGGUACCAGGGUCGCAAUUAAAUUCCUGAUCCACGCUCCUCCACCAUGCAGUAAUCAUGUCAGAAAUCGAACGGAUCGAGCAGAGCUCCCGUGAUGAUUUGAACAUCCAUGAACUCAGAUGUUUAUAAGUCCAGAGAAAACUCUGAUCUCAUUAGGAGGUUCCUUUAAAACUGAGUGAGUGUGAAUGAGAAAGUAUCACAUUACAAACUCAGUAAAGUCCAGAUUAGGAUCAUUAUUGAAGGAACAACAAGCAGAAAACACGAACAAAGUUACUUGAACUGAGAAAAAUUAUUUGACAAACUUUACAAUGAAAGAUGAAAAACUCAUAACAACAUUUCUAUUUAGUCAUAAUUUAAUAGAAUAGGAUGUAAAAUGAGCUUCUGUCCAAGGAAUAAGACAUCUUGACCUCGAGUACUCAUUCAUAAACUCAAACCGUCACUGUUUCACACGGAUUAUUUUCAAGGUGACACAACGUACUUAUGUCACCACGGUAUAUGAUGGAGUAAGCGCAGUUUUGGUUUUGCGGAGCGGGAAAAAUGAUUGAUGAGAGGGGCUUUUCUUCUGCAGAGCUCCAGUAGCUCAUUAGUAAUUCACCUCUGAGUCGUGGGCGGAGACAGCGCUGCUCUGCACUCUCCUCUUCACGCUAGCCUGCAGCCUAACAGGCAAAACCCACAGGAUCCGGAUCCGGGCACGGCAGGCGGAUCAAAUACGCAAGAAUUAUAAUCAAUGUGAGUCAUUCCACAGAAUUCAUCUGCCGUCCGGCUCCGGAUCAGAUACACAAGGCUUUUAUUUUUGCCGGAUGCCGCAGCACGGCGCAUCAAUUCAGUGCAGCAGCGGAAGUUGUAAACGCUACAGAGUAAAAUAUCUGGUAAAUUUUCAAAAUUAAAGAAAAUCAAAACAUUUAACUGUUCUUAGCUUGGUAAUUGGAGAGGCCAGGGUUGUGGGAUGUGGGUGUUUAUAAACACCCCCGUUUAUAUACACCGAUUGGCGGAUCUCAUUCAAUGUCUCACGGGGAAACACGCGAGAACUUGUGAGAUCAUGUCUAGUCUUGCGAGAGCUAUCGGUAAUUUCGCGUGAACUACGAUGGUGGCGGCAGACCAGAUCCGGUGGGCGCUGUAUUCUUGCGUAUUUGAUCCGCCUGCCGGUCCAGAGCGGAGCCGUUCUGGAUCCAGUGGGAUUCCGAGUAACAUUGUUGGUGUAGCAGAAAUAGCAGGUAACAUAGAAGCUCCUGGACACUAAUGUCUUUGGGGACAUGAUGAAAGUUAAUAUCAUAAUUAGCUUUCUUACAAGCAUUACAAUCUGCUAACGUACACGCUUGUUCCAUGAAAACUGCAGUUUAACCAAAAAAAUUAUGUUUUAUCCAAUUACUCAAUUAAUCGAUGGAACAUUACGUAGGAUACUUGAUUACUAAAAUACUUGAUAGCACCAGCUCUAAUUUAGAAAUCUUGAUCAUCUGAUUUCUGCAGAAAAAUCCCUCUGGACUCCCGCUGAUGGAAAGCAAUAAUGAAGUCGACAAUGAGAAGUAAAGUUAACGGCCUCUUACUUUAACUAUGUCCGUGCUUGGAUGUAAAUGGAAACACUCCUCUGAAGCAGACUGUCCUUUACAAGGACAAUAAUGCCGCUGUAUAGACUGUGUGAGUUUGAAAAGAAGACUGUGAGCUGGAGUAAAGAGAGAAUUUCAGACACAACAAACAGACUCACACUAACCCCUGAAGAGACGAUUCAUGUCAGUCUGAGGAGGUUGAAACAAGCUUCUGUACAAAGUUCUCGCACUGUCCUCAUGACUGUUUCUCUGCACAUAUUAAGACAUGAACCGUUAAUGAUCAUGUGAACGUGAUGACUCAUGGAGGAGAAGCUGGUUUUCCGGUGUAAAGUGGUGCAAAAAGUAGAUGUUUAACACCGACAAACACUUUCAAAGUUUCCAUCUCUCUGAAGGUUGCCAUAGUGAUUUAAUGACUUCGAUUGAGCAGAGAGGCUAUAUUUGACACCCUCGAGGCUGCUGCUUGGGUGCAAACAGAGAAGACAUGUCACAUAAUUUACCAAACGAGGCGAGCGUCUCAGUUUACACGGUUUUAGAUUAUAGUACCCAAAAGAAGACCUCUGAAUUUUACACUAAAUUUGGUUAUUUAUCAGGCAACAACCGUACAACCAUCUGUCAGUUCAGCGGUACAGUCCUCUGAAAUACUGACUCAUUCUUGGUUCUUCUCACGUCGUCAGCAGCUCUCUCUCUCUCUCUCUCUGCCUGUAACAGCAGAUGUGAUGCCAAUCCUUUUACACCUGCAGCGCCCGUACAGUCCAGGAUUAUAUGUGACAAACACGACUGGAUUCAGGGUUUUUCCCUGCAGAACUUUCUCCAGAGAGUUUGUGUCGUAUGUAAAAAUGUAAAAACUAAAGUAGGCUACACUCUGUGAAGAAACCGAUGACGGGUUAUACUGGAGAAAUAAACGAGGCUCAUAACAGACGCUCUGAAAAACAAACUUUCAAUGUGUAAGUCACAUAAAUCUGAGUAUAGACACUUUCUGACCCAUUUAUUGUUUUAAAAGAGGACACACACACACACACACACCUCACACAGACGGUAAAUAGAAGACUGGCCUAUUUUAACGUCGGUGGAUAUUUUAUUCAGUGUUCUGAGAUUUUGAAGCAGGAGUGUGAAGACUGUAGUGUUUUUGCUUUCAGACAUGGAGGAGGUUCAGCAGUGAUAAAGUGUAACAGCACAGAUUGACGGAGCCUGGAGGCGAGAGCAGAGGUGCGCCGUGGGAGGUUGAAAUUUAAAUACUGUAAAAUCGACUGAGUACAAGUUAGAAAUGAAGUAUCCGAAAAGUUACUGAAUCAAAAUGUCAAUACUACGUCUGCACACUUACCUCAUUUCAAACAAGGUUAUAAUAGUUUUGGAUUUACGAUAAUCAGCCUGUUUCCAACAAAAGCUAUUUCAGUUUUCAUCUUGUAAAUAAAUGUCUCUAUUUUACACACUGGAAACAUAAACUUAACGGAGAACUUAGAGGGUGUUUUCUCUGUGCAGCCGGUUUCUUUACUAUGACUGAUGUUUUGACUUCAUGCAUCAUGUUUUGUCCUGAUCACUGCAGUUUGUAAGUUUGUUCACAGCAUGGCGAGAGCUACAGAGGAGGAUUAGAGCCACUGGAAAAAAACAAAGAAAGGUCCAAUAUAAUUCUUUGAAUAAUUAUUCUGAGAUUAAACUUAGAAUUCUGAGAUAAAAAUCAGAUUUCUGAGAAAAAAGGUUUCAAAUCUGAGAAAGAAAAGUCAGAAUUCUGAGAAAAAAAUUAAAAAUUAUUAGAUUAAAGUCGGAAUUCUAAGAUUUGAGUCAGCAUUCUAAGAAAAAAGUAGUCGCAAUUCUGAGAAAAAAGUCAAAAUUCGGAGAAAAAAAGUCAGAAUGCUGAGAUUUAAGUUAGAAUUCUGAGAAAAAAUAGUCGGAAUUUUCAGAAAUAGUCAAAGUUCUGUGAGGAAGUCAGAAUUCUAUGAAUAAAAUCAGAAUUUUGAGAAAAAGUUCAGAAUUCUCAAAAAAAAAAACUGGAAUUCUGAGAUUAAGGUCAGAGUUCUGAUUAAAUCUCAUCAUUCUGAUAUUUUCUUACAGAGGUUAAAUUAGCAGACAUAAUCAUGAUUCUCUUUGUCCAUCCACACGUCCACAAUGGAGCGUCAGUGUCUCACCUGUUUCACAACACAGGAGUGGAUGACAAUCUGGAUCACUUGAAUCAAGAAUAAUAAUAAAAAUAUAUAUAUAUAUCUGACCUUUUUCCUUUUUUCCCCAGUGGUCCUAAUCCUCCUCCAUAGCGAGCAGUGAAAGGCAGCGUGGGUUAAAACUGCGGCUCAUGAUCCUCCAAACAAACCCGACUCUGUGGUUUUUAUUUUCAGACAUUUAGCCGAAUCUUCUUCUCUCAGCUGUAAUAAAUAAACUCUGCUAAACACCUUCCCUCUCCACUCCCCCCUCUCUUUUCAUUUCUGUCUAAAUGUGACUUUCAAGUUUCCCGAGUCGAAUUCAUUUUCAUCAUCUCGCCCUGCCUCGUGCGUGUCUCUCUGCACAAUAAUUCACCCAUUUGUAACCAUCAGGCCUUUAUUACAUUUUAACCAAUCAUGUUUGUUAUCUCUCAGGUUUUAAGCUUUAAAUGAAACCCACAUUUACAGUAACUGCCACACACGCUACAUCUAUUUUUCCUAUUAUGAGCUCAGUCAAGCAAUUUCAGAGCAAAAUUGUCUUUUAAAGGAUGAAAUAAACAUGAGCCGAGCCAUUAUCAGGGAAAUGUGAGCUCCACGAGUGACACUGGAGUACUUGCUCUUUGAUUUGUUGCUGAAUGGCUUUACAUUAACACAAUACUUCUGCUGAUGUGUACUGUGAAGAGAGAUGUAAUGAAGCGCCGCUGUGAAUAAUACCUCCAAUUAAGCCCAAUAAAGUUCGUUAAAGCGCGGGAGAUAAUCUUCAACUCUGUCGACGCUUUUCUAUUUUUUCAAUUAAAGUAGAUUCUGAAAAACAGGAGAAUAAUUUUAACUUUUAAUGUGUCUGUUUUCACAAAUCAAGGUUAAAGAAAGGUUAAUUUAACAAACUCAUUAUGGAUCCACCAGAGAGACGCUUCGUUUUACGAUGUCCUGUGAAUGCGUCGCACAGGGACGCACUAAUUCCCCCCCGCUGAGUCUCUCUCCCUCCCCUGUUACUAUUUUUGAAAUCUGUCCCAUCUGGCCGCUCUUCACAACAAUAUUGACCAAUGAACUUUCAUUUCCUCUGUUGUUAAAUAGAAAUGAAUCUGCUCUCCAUCACAGGUGGGAGGCACACUUAAUUGACUCGUGUUAACAUCUUUCCAUGGCGUGUACACCUGCUCUCUUUCUAUAUGCACAUUUUAUCAUUUCAAUUCAUUCCCGUCCAGCGGUUUGACAGUCAACCCUCUGAUGGACAAUCAAAUCAAAUCACUGAACCUCUGGGGCCUCAGAUUUGCAUGAAAGCUUGAGUGUAAUGGUUUAUAACAGCCUGUGAACCCGUAAAUGUGACGCCUACAGGUCCGAAAAUCUUACAACUUUGUGUUAAAUGUUGAUAAAAAAGAAGCUGAUGGUUUACAAUUAAUUCAAAGAUGAUUUUUAACUGAAAUAGAGAAAAGACAAAAUAUAAAAUAUUAAGGCUGAAACAUUUUACAUUUACUGCAGACUUCAAAUCGGGGCUACAAGAUUAAUGGGUUUUAAAUCGUAAUCAGAUUAAUUAAUUAUGAUGACGUUAAAAAGACCUAAAUUGUUAAAUCGAUUUUCCUCUCUAUCAUGUCUCGCGGCUCCAGUCCACGGUAGAUACAAACACCAAUGAAGAAGAAGCAGCUGAACACCAACGAAGACUUAGUGUAUGAGACAAAGCCACAGAGACAGAGAGAGAGAGCAUAGCACUCGGCGGUCAAAAGUUUGUCUAACCUUAUUAGGAAGAAUGAACUCUUAUCUCAGAGCAACAUUAACAACAGUUAUAUCCUGUAAAGGAGGAUGAACGACCAACAUGAUUGAACACCUCAGGAUUCAUGGAGGAGAAACACCUGAGUGCCCGUCUUUGACACACUUCACCGGUCUUCCACCAACCAGCCAGAAUCAGAAAAGUGAAACAAUAACUUAAAUGGAGGGUAAACUUAAAUAUCCAACUAACGUUAGCCCUCGAAUUUUUAUAUAGACAAACGACCUGACAACAAAAACUGGUAUUUAUAAACUGGUUGAAAAUAAUCCUGAGAGAAAUUCACAGUAAAGUUCUUAAAAAGUUAAAGUUAAAAAGAAUUGAAAUCGGAAUCAGAACGGGACUCCUUCAAAAUCAAACGAUAUCCAACCCUAGCUACAGCACCACAUACUGGCUUGGCAUAUGAACUACAUCCUUUUCAGUGGUUUAGUUUUGAGAGACGAUAGAAAACCUCUAAACUUAUCAGGUUAUUUUAUGACAGGAUAUAAAACAUGAACACUUCAGAGUUUCUCAAGGAUAGUGAGAGACUGCGUGAGUGAAGAGUUCAUUAUUUCAGAUUUAUAGACAAAAAAACGCCAAAUUGACAUCAUUUUAAAAAAAGUCAGGGACUCCAUAAAAACCCCAAGACCAAAAACCAAUCCUGGAUCAGUCCUAAUCUUCAGACUGUAUUAAAACCAGACAUGUCUCUGCAGCUGAAAUCACUGUGUGUGCUUUAAACCAAACCUGAGACCAGAUAAACAUGAUGAAAACAUGCUGGAAACUUCUCAGGCCCAUUUAAGAUGAACUGUGAGGAAGAAGAAACUGAUCUCCUGACAAAUCAGAAUCUGACUCUCCAAACUCAGCAUCCCUGAUGGUUUAGGGAUCAUCAGAGUCCACGUCAGCGGUAACUUCCACCUCUGUGAAGGCUCCAUAAUGCUGAACAAGAGUUUCAAGUUAAAACUUUUGAUAUGUUUCUGUUGAGAGUUUCAGUGAUUUGCAGACCAUCAAACGUCAUAUUUUGGCUGUAAAAGAUGAAGAAGAAUAAAAUCAAACCUGCAGACUUACUCUGAUGAGAUUGAAAGUUUGUGUGGAGUGAAAGUGAAGUGCAAAAAGGACACCUGUGCACAGCAGAAAAAAAAGAAAUGACUGUGAGUCUAAUUUGUCUUCAGAGCUGUGAAAGGCUGAAAGCUGCAACAUUCAUUUUUGAUUGGCUAUCUGAAUAUCACGCGUCUCCAAAACGAACGUCAAUUCCAUCUCAUCUACUGCCUGACAGAACUUAAAUUGGAUCCCAAAAAGAAUAACAUGAUGGAAAUGAAAUCAACAUUUCCAUUUUCUUCUUCCUCUGCCACCCCUCCUGGUUGUUGAUUCAUUGACGAACGUCGUGUUUUUAUUUAAGAUUGUGGGAACAGAGUUGGAAAACCUUCCCAGCUGAGAUUCAGACGUCUCUCCGCCGUGUGGUUUUUCACGCCUGUUAUCACAAACGACUGACAGAGUCUGAACAGGCUCAUCACUUUCUUGAUGUUGGCUGCAUUCACAAUGUUUCCUCUCUUUACUUUACUUUCCCCGCCGCAGGAACGUUUCCUCCCUUGCAGACCUUAUGCAGAUUACAGGUAAUUUUAAUGAAUCUUAGCGCAGAGCCAUGACAAUUAUAGCACAAUGCAAGAGCAGCUGAUUUAUAUAGAAGUAUCCCCUUAUUUCCUACACAAUUAACCUUGAGCUAAUGCUAAUUUACGCCUUCAGUGCACACAAGAUACUUCCUGGAAAUGAUGUGUAAACAGAGGAGGGCCAGGAGCGUAAAACUGUAUCCACUCAAACUAAAGAAAUAUGCAUGAGUGCUUUCUUCUCCCGCCCCGGAGUAUCCUCCUCACUCUGCUGUGUUUUAUGUGUCAGGCGUGGUGAAUUAAUGAGCGUACACAUGAGCUCAGCGCCCACCCCCACAGUGAACUAUAGCAGGAUGUGAACACACCUCCUGUACAUCAUUAUGAAGGAAACAGAUCUGUUCAGGCCUUGUUAAGAUACCCGGGUGUGGACGAGGAGCGGUAUAACGCCGCCGUCUGCCUGACAUGGUUUAUGUUCGGCUUAAUAAAGGAUUAUUCCGUCUACUUUUUAAAUUAUUUCAGCACUUUUUUCUGAGUUUGAAGCCUGAUUUAUGUCCAAAUGAAACUCUAACUUCACUAACUACUUUCACAUCCACCCUGUCCACAGUCCUUCUCAUUAAACUGAGGCGCUCCUCAUGACCUUUAAGAGCGCCGCAGCUGACCGCUGCCUCACGAGAAGAUGAGACCGCUGUCCUGAAGUUUAUCAAGGUGAUGGAGAAACUUUCCUCAGUCACAGGAGAGGUAACUAGAGCCGAAAACUCACAGGAUCCAUGUUGGGCGCGUUCACGGUCUGGUGUAGGUACCAGAUGUGUUCAGGCUGCCAGAUCAACUCGAGCCCGGUGCUUAUUGACGACUGAUUUACAACAAACUGCAAUAAAACUGGACUCACACCACCACUUUUUUCCUUUUUUUCCUGGUACUUAAAUUGUGUAUAUUGUAUAUAGUUUUAUUUUUUCUUCUUCCUUUUUCUUUUUCUAAUUUUUUUCUUAAUUUGAACAUUUAUUUAAGUUCUUAAUAUACCAUCUUUAUUUUUAUAACUGCAUUUUUGCAUGUCCAUGUAGAUUCUCUGUCUGUGAUGCUGCUGUGACAGAAAAAUUUCAAUAAAGGAAUAUUCUAUUCUAUUCGAUUCGAUAACACUAUAUGAUUGGCUGUAAGAUUUUAGUAUGGACAUUACAGAAGCGGUUUUCACCAGAUUAGGUUUCAUGGGAUUGUAGUUCUUCUGAGAAAAAUGUAGAAUUUUACGAAGAAAUCUAUCGCUACCUAUCGAAGGGGAAUUACGACAGUCUGACUGAAGUCACCAAGGAAAUGUGGAAUAAAAGCAAAACCAACUAUUGAUAAACGGAGAUCCUGAGGGUCUUCAACAGGCACUGGGCUCCAAGUUGAUCUGACAGCCCAAAGACAUCUAGUACCUCUACCGGCUCCAUCGGAAAGCACACGGGAGAGCGUGUUCGGAUCAUAGUAGCAGCGUCGCAGCAGCUUGACUCAGUGUACAGAAAACUACAGACUCACAGCAGGCUGCUUUUUCUUUCUAAAGGUCCAUUUCCUGCUAAUUUUGGAUUUUAUUCUGUGACUAUUGAGCUUCUACUGAACGUGAACGAGCAGAGGCACAGAGUAACCUACGUCCCUCUUUGCUGUUUCCUUCAGACAGAGUUAGCAGCUAGAAGUCCUGCUGUGGUCCACAUGGAUCAGGGAUAGACCAUGAGGCUGUUCUGUGUUAAUAACAAAUCUAUAACCAGGAAGUGUUUCUUAUCUUACAGUCAGGAGUCCACAGAUGGUGGUUUAUUUCAGAAUUUACCAGAUGACAUGUUCCUCUCCCGUCUAAAACCAUCUUCUCUGCGCAGACUGACGCAUGCUGGGUGCAUGAAAAUAGACUUGGCGUGAAGCGGCGUGCAAAGACGCUUCUGCAACGCUUCCUGUGUGCGAUGCUGCGUUGAUGAGAGUGGGAACACGGCAGCGUAGAACCCGACACUGACAGGACGCACCAAACACGACUCCCAUCAAAGUCAGCCACGGUGUCACAGAUUAUCUCUCUGUUGUGUUCGUCGUGAUCAGAGCGAUUUUCUCUCCUCAGAUCUGAGCUGAAGACGAUCACAGCCUCGAACUCAUCAAUGUUUAACAUAUUUAGCACGUAUGUGGAUCUCUGAGGUCAUGGUGACGUUAUACCUGUGCGAAGAUCACAAGUUAAGCUUCCUUAACUCAUGAUUCUUCGUUUGUGUUGUUAACAGCAGGUGGAGCAUUCACAGGCCGUGGAGAAUCAGCCUGCUUCUUCAUGAUAAACUCAUUAAAAGUCAGACUAAAGAUAAGCUUUAUCCUUUUGUAAACUCAUAUUUGAGUUUAAAGCACAUCAGUGAACCUAACAUGGUGCAUGUGGACCGUCUCCUUCACCACCACGAACCACAGCCACACUUUAUUCUGAGUUAAUCCCACAAACACCCACAGACACAAUUGUUUCAUUAAUCCACCGCCGAAAAUAGCGCUCAACAAAUCCACUGUUAACCGCCGACUUCAGUAACGUUUGUCGUAAUCUUUACCGCCCAGCUGUUUGAGAAAUUAACCUUUAUUUUAAAUAAUAAAACCGGUUUGUUCCGGUUUUCAGGCAAAGUUACAAAGACGUGUUAAAACAGAAAGGCAGAGUUCCCCCUGGGGCAGAAUAACACGUUGUUGGUUUAGGUUUUCUCACGUCGAGUGUCAAAGAAAAGCUGAAAAAGAGUGAAUCAUACCUGCUACCUGUUAACGAGGAAGAAGCACCUGUUCAGACACAGAGAUUAAAAAUUAACUAAAAAGAGUUCUUUACUUUUGUCUUUAAACGGGAAAUGUUUACACGCCGCGCUCUCUCUUUUACAGCACACAUGACGCUCACGCUUUCACAUCUCGUUCACACGCUGAAGGCAGAAGCUGCUAUAAAAGCUCCAUCAGUUUUGACUAAAUCCACUCACACACAGAUUCUGGUGGAGUUAGGUUCCUGGCCCAAAGACAGCCGGACCUGAGAUCGAACCCCUGACUUUGGGUCGCAGCGCCGCCCACGCCGACUUCAAACUGGAGUUUUUUAAAAGUUAAGAAAUGAACUUCAAACGCAGCUUCAUUAAGUUUUUAAGCUUAGAUGAAGAAACAAUUAACCGAGUGUGACGAGGAGACCUCAGAGACGCGCUGAUAAAACCGAGCCGCAGUAUCUCUAAUUAUCUUUAUAUUAUUUCAUCUGAGGGAUUGAAGACCAAGUCUGAAGACCCUGAAACUCCCCGCCAUGUUUACACAAACUUUAACGCCAUAAACCGCUUCGUUCUGAGGCGUUUUCAUACGUUUUAUUCUCACAUUAAGAUGGCGAACUCUCAAUAUUUUCAGGGGGCGAGCUAAAAGAAGUGAUAUUGACUUCCCGCUGAGCUAAUAUACGCUGCCUCGUGUCAAGUUGUGUAAAUCACAGGGGUAAUCAUUAAGGCACUUUAAAUAGCUCCCUGUUUGCUCUGUGAUUAAGCUCCAAAAACAAACCGGGGGUUUGACAUGGGGGGUAUUAAUACGAUCCGGUGGUGUUUUUAGAUCGUGAGGAGGCGAGAGGGAGAGAGAGGGAGAGGGAGAGGGAGAGAGAGGGAGAGAAAGCAGCUCGAGCCUUUGAUCGUGUGCGAUGCUGAGUGUGGUGAUUUGCUGCUCCCACAAACCCUUUGAAGCCCCCUUCCUCCUCAUCCUCCUCCUCCUCCUCCUCGCUGAAUGGGCCGGUCAGUCCUCCGAGCUUUACUUAUUUAUGAAUUCAUCCCUCUGAACCCCGGAGAUGAUCCUGGUGAUUCAUUAGAUUAAAAUAAACACAUUAAAGAGUCUUUUAGGGCAGGAACCAUCACUCCAAACACUGACCCUCUGCUGUUAUCUACUAUAGAAAUAAAGUUUUUGUCAGGUUCUCUUCCUCCAGAUCAUUUAAACUCAUUUCUUACUGCUAAAUUAAACACAUCAGAGUGACCAUAUUCUGAAUCCACAAAAAGAGGACACGAUUACGCGGGGGCGGAGUCACAGAGUCGCACGUACCCUGAAAAAGAGGACAAAAACAGAGGGUAAAAGAGGAUGUAUGGUCACCCUACACACAAUGUACCUUUAAAUAGGGCCGGGCGAUAAACCCAAAAUUCGCUGAUAUCGAAAUUUACAACAAUAACCAACGUCAUUUUGCCAUGUCAAAAAAUUCAGAGUAUGGCUGCACGAUUUAUCGUUUGAGCAUCGUCUUCGCGAUGUACGUGUGCGUGAUAGUCACACUGCAGAGUCUGCGAUGUCGGAGGUGAAUGAACUCAGUUAAUUUCAAGGGUAGCUGACUGAGAUAAACUGCAUGCGACUCUGCAUGUGCUGUGCAGUGAUCCACCAAUCACAUUCGUUCUUUACUCAGUUGCCAAUCAGACUACCCUGCCAGCCAUCAAUCAAAAUCAGAGAGGAGGAAACCACGCCCCUGCAUAUGGAGUGAGUCGCUGGCGCUGCUGGUGUUGUGCCAACAACGAUUGAAAAAUGAGCAACAAACAGAGAAAACCACCGAAAAUGAAGAUUUGUUGCCAAAAAGAAAAGGAAAGUCAGUUAUCUGGAAUUAUUUCGGUUAAAAGAAGGAUGAAGUCGACCAAACAAACACGUCUUCUGUGUUCAUCUGUUUUCCAGAACAAUAAAAACUAAAAAUAUCUCUGAAUCAGACAGAAGCCAUUCUACAAACAUUCACAAAAAGAGGUAAGAUCAGAGCAGGUUAACUGUCCUCAAGAUUUCAGCAGAAAGUUUUAUUCAGGUCAUCUGGUGAAAAUGUCUGUAUUUUUUAAUAUCGUAAUAUAUAUCACAGGGUUUAAAAAAAUUGCAAUGUUCGUUUUUUCCAAUAUCGUGCAGCCUUUAUUCAGAGCCAAAGAAAUAAAUAAAUCAAAGUUGUUUUCGGAUGUGUGUAGGUAGGCUAUGGUCUCAUGUCCCUUUAAGACGCUGUCCUACAUCAGAGACGUGACUCCACCCCAUCCAGUCUGUAACAAAGAGGGAAAGACAGGUGAGGAGAUGGAGGACGGAGAGAAAGUUGGAGCGGCUGAAGUAGACGAAGUUAAUGUGGGAGGGGGUGAGCAGCUUGCGGAUUAGUUAUUGUCUGUUUAUCGUUAUCGAGGUGAACUGAUCAAUAUAUCCUGAUAUUGAUUUAAGACCAUAUCACCCAGCCCUAUACUCCACUCAGUCUGAGCUCAUUCAAACUCACUUCUUACACACAAAACAAAAGUCUGUUAGGAAGAAAGUUUGGUUUGUGAAAGUGAAACUGGAUCCUCGGCUGACUCCAGAGAUAACAGCCAACAAAAUGUAAUCUUGUCCGUGUCAGUGCAGGCUGUCAAACAGAGCAAAUUAACAUUUACUGAAGAUCCAGCCUGUCGUCUUCUUACAGCUGAGUGAUAUAAAAGGGUGACGGUAUCCUGCUGAUCUCCCAUUGUCACAUUAUCCAACAGUGGAAGCAGAGCUGCUUGAUAAUAAAUGGGCUGGUUCUGGUGCUCAGACAAGUUUGAUGUUUCUUUAAAAUGUUGGAUUGAGCCUCUCUCAGCCUCACAGUAAAUGAUUUGGGAGAUGAGUCACUCUUGAAAGUCUGUUUCACUGAAGACUGUCUGUCUUCUCUCCUCGGUGGCAUGUUAUACAACAUCUAUCAGCCGGAGCCUUUUCCACAAAAAUAUGAGACGUCUGUGGAUGAAUCUGUGACUUGACCGGCUGUGAGAUUGCAGGAAGACGUCAACGAAAUUCUGUAUUCUCCUGAUAUUACUCAGAGACAAUGGCUGAAGUUUCUCUGCUUUUACUUUCUGUACAAUUCUGAACAGAACUUCAGUGAAAACCAGCCUCUGCACCCUCAGACUUCAGAAUAAUAAUAUUAAUCAUAACCUCACCCACAAGAAUCCAAUCUUCCUGGAAACACGACGCCCACCUCUGCUGCUUCACUGAGAGCUCUCAUGUAAAGGUUAGACAUGUGGAGUUAUAAUAACAAAUGGAUGAUCUGCAGCCUCUCAGUUUCUUUCCUCACUAUCUGUGAAGUGACCUGAGUGGAGGAGGUGCUGUCUGAAUGAGGUCCUGCUCUGAUUGGCUGUUUAAAUAUUGAUUGACAGGUGCAGAAAAACACUGAGACAAAAAUGACGAGUGCUCCAGGAGAACCUGUUCUGUUCUCCUCUCUCCUCCUCCUCUCAUCCCUGUCACUACCUGAUCCGUCCUAGAAACCUGAUUUGUACUGUGCAUGUGCGAAAUUUAUGUCACUUCCUCUACUAGCCAUCUUUGUGACAGCUCAGCAAUUCUUCAACUAAAGCAGAGCGCCGAAAAGUCAAGAGAAUGGCGCCCAGUUUCACGAUUAAAAGUUCUUACUACGGCUGGUUCAUUAAAUAAUGAAAUAAAUCCUCCCUUGAUACUUUGAAAAGUCAGAGAACCAUAGCUUUGACAGGGGCUAUUGCCGAGGCAUUCGCUGGAUCUCCUGCCCAGCACAGUGAGACGUUUUGGGCCACAGGGAGCGCCAGCACCCGUCCAUAAUUUUGACCAAGUGCUGGCGCCCAAAAUGUCUCAUUGUGCUGGGCAGGAGCUCUGGCGAAUGCCUCGGCAUUAGCUCUGGAGCGUCCUGAUAGCUAGCCUGUCACAACACCGACUUGUUUCAGAAUUGAUCGGUAAUUUAAAUGAAGUUUUUAUUACGGAUCGGGAAAGUAGCAAUAAGUGACUAUCUGCCGUAAAAUGCAUUGAAACACGAAAAGAGUAAGUUACAUUCCAAUUUAUUGGCGAGCCAAUUAAUACGGCCAAUUUUAGCCCGUUUGAGAUGAAUUGGUAAUCGGCCAAAACUCGCCAAUUGUCGCCGAUAUUUUCAAAAAUAAAAUGCGGAGAAUAAGAUUCAGUUUCACUUCGAAAAUGUUCGGCCAUUUGAAAAGUUCCCCGACCUAUCCUGUAGAUGGCGCAGCGACCUCAUGACAAUCUUCAGUUGAAAACGCUUCUCUGGUCAGAGUUUGAUUCAUGAUGAAGUCAUGAGAAAUACAGGGAAUAUUACUGAGAUUAAUAUUAAGUGUUUGAAAGGCUCAAAAGCAGCCAUUUGUUUAAAAAACAAUAUGUAUUUAUGUUACUUAAAUCAACAAAAUUUUUAAAACUUCCUAAAAGAUUUAAAAAAUCAGCCGAUUAGUCAGCUAUUGUUUUUUUUUCUUCCCUUAUAAUCAGUAUCGGCAUCAACCCCAAAAAAUCCAUAUCAGUCGGGCCCUAAUCGGUAGUUUAAAUAAAGUUUUUACUUUCACUCGCUCAGUACGGAUCAGGUCAGUAGCAAUAAAAACGACUAACUGCAGUAAAAUGCAUUGAAACACUAAAAGAGGAAGUGACGUUUGUUUCACACAUGCGCAGUACAAAUCAGGUUUCCGGGACUUAUCUGGUGGUGAUAAUACCUCCUCCCCCUCUCUCUUCUCUCCCUGCUCUCCUCUCUCUCCUCCUCCUUCUCUCCUCCUCCUCUCUCCACCUGUUGCUCCCUGAUCGUUCGACCUCCAAACCGACCACUUCCUUAUAAGGUUAAUUGAUUCCAUAGAAGAUCACCGUUUUUCUGUUUCUGGAUGAGUCUGACGUGGUCAGGGUUCAAAGCUGUUGCCCCUCCAGCUCGGCUUGCAUCAUUAGACCUCCCAUAAUGCUUUGCGCAGAUAGAGAAAUGUAUAUGUGAACGAAGUGCAGCAGGUCCACGUAGUUAAACAGAGGGAUCCAUCAGGGCCUAGUUAAACGAAUGUAAUCACUGUUUAAGUAGGAUGAGGAGCUGUGAGGGUUCUGCAGGGAGAACACUUUCAUACACUGUCGUCCUUUUACUUGAUUAGAUCUGAUUUAUUAAAAGUAUUGACUUAAUGACAGCCGAGAGCGCAGAAGAGGAAAUCCAUGCUUGUGUUGGAAAGCUUUUAAGCUGUACUUUAAACAUCCAUCCAGGUAAGAAAUGUGCCUCUUUAUCCGGCAUCAUUAUUCCCUUCACACACACACACACACACACACACACACACACACACACACACACACACACACAGGCUUAGAUCAACAUGUUGAAUCUGUAAUGCUUCCCUCAAGUCUCUCACUAUUGUUUAUUUAACGCUCUCUCCAUUGUGAAUACUCGCGGUGAUUGUGCGUUUUACUUCCAGCGAACACAGAGCGCAGCAGGCAAACAAACGAAGCCGCUAAUAAAGAAACCCGAGAAGAGCGAGCGUGACACCGUACCAGAACGCUCCUCCGACAAAUCAUAUUUGUGCUUUUCACGCCUUAAGCCUCUUGUCUCUAAUCUAUCCCUCUCUUCCUGUGUAGGUGUGUGUGUGUGUGUGCGUGUGUGUUUGUGUGAAAUAUGCUUUCUGUCCAUGGCGAGGAUCCUCCAUUGUUCUGUCCAACAGGCAGGAGAGAAAACGUAAGCGCGAUUUGGCAGCGUUUUCUGAAACCACAAGCACCUGCAAAGCAGAUUAAAAGGAGGAGAAUAAAGACGGCGUCGCUCUGAGCGUUCAGAGGCUUUGUUUGUGCACGCCGUGACAUCAUCAUUUCCUGCUCAUGAGCGAUUAUGUCAGAUGCAAUAAAGACACGAGGGGAUAUCAUGACCCUUAGAUGUUUAUGAUCUCUGCAGAGAGAAGUCCCGAUAAUGCAUCAAACACGCUUCAGGUAUUAAUUAUUGUGGUUUACAGGAGCCGAAGAUAAUGACGCUCUUCUCUUCUCUUUGUUUUGGAGUCGCUCUGUUAAAGCGAGAAGAUUAAACUACAUGAAAAAAACUUUCUCAGGUUGAAAUUCGACGCCCCACAGAGCAGAAUUAUCUGUCUCAGCAGGCGACUGUGUCAGGUUUCUAAUCCACAUUCUCCACUGUCCUUUUCUGCAGAUUAAUUUGGGUUUUUUAUUUGAG